AUGAACGAACAGCCAAUGCAAAGCGUCUGUUUGAAAGCAUAUUCCCUCAAGAUUCAUAAAAUAUGCAGAUUUGAAAUCACCGGUUAUUGUAUUGCAAGAGAAUUAAAGCCGCUGAAUGGGUUUGUAUCACUGUGGUGGACUUUUGGUGGAGGGACAAGACUCUCAGUUGGAACUAACGCUCAGCCGACUCUAACGGUCCUGUCGCCCUCCAGAGAUGAGUUGAAUCAGGGUAAAGCUUCAGUCAUGUGUGUGGCCAGUAAGGGAUUCCCCUCUGACUGGAAGUUGAGCUGGAAGGUGGAUGGUAACAGCAGGAGCUCUGGUGUGAAUCUGAGUCCUGGUGUCCUGCAGAAGGAUGGACUGUACAGCUGGAGCAGCAGUCUGAGUCUCACUCACAGUGAAUGGAGCUCAGCGAAAACCAUCAGCUGUGAGGCCACACAGAGCUCACAGAAUCCAGUCUCCAAAAUCCUCAACACACAGGAGUGUGAUGUACAAUGAGAGCACACACACAAACCGACACACCAAAAUCUUGUUAAAAAUUAAAAUUCAUUUGCAGAAGCCCUCUUGCUUUUUAACUGUUUGCAGUGCAUAUGACAGCAGGCUUGAAUGAUUUGCUGAGUCCUAUUGUGGUUGCAAAAAUAAAAGUAUUUUGA